rnacentral:misc_RNA from 1 species
AAGUCGUAACAAGGUUUCCGUAGGUGAACCUGCGGAAGGAUCAUUAGUGAAAAUAGGGUGACUCUGCAAAGAGAAUCCCGAACCACACUUUUUCAUACACUUGUGAACUAGAACCAUUUUUUUAACAUUAAUUUGUUAAAAGAUAAACCCUUAUGUUGAUAUACAGUCUUGUGAUGUAAACAAAAUGUAAAAGUUAAAUAA